UGGGGGAUUAGCUCAGCUGGCUAGAGCAUCUGCCUUGCACGCAGAGGGUCAACGGUUCGAAUCCGUUAUUCUCCACUAU
rnacentral:tRNA from 1 species